GCCCGAGCCAGACCAGCACAUAGAUAGAGAGCUGAGCUUCACCUACUCUCCGGUGGUGCCGAAGCAAGGGAGGUGCUGCCCGAAGUUUUUUUCCUCAUUUUCGUGGGAAUUUCACUCAGCCAACACAAGUGUUGUGAAGGUUUGCUACUUCAUCCUCGUGUUAUGCUUUGAUUUAUGCUUUGGAGAUGGAAAGAUUAAUUGCUAGAAUGUGAUGAAGUAGAAAAUCGAGAGGUAUUUUGAGCUAGAAUGUGAGGGAGAUUGAUGUGUCAUAUAUAGUAUGUAUUCUUGCAGUGGUUUAAGAAUGAUGCUACCUUGUCUAGACGGUUUAUCUUAUCAAAAUCAAUAAGGUUUUUCAAAUCCAUACUUGUUGAACUUGCAUACCGUGUUCAUCUUUGCGAGCAUGUUCUCCGCCGAGCAGCAACGUAUGUCAAGAAGGAGGUUUGAUUCUACGAGAAAGAGUGGAUAUGGACAUCGUGACUGUGUCCCCUUUUCCAUAGCAUCGAACCUCUUUCAUGAUGAAGUGCGAUGCUGCCCAGUUGAGAACAUGCUCGCGAGAUGAUCACGGUCUUCAAGUUCAACAACUUCUGCAGUGCUAAGGAAAGAAUUUUUGUACAUAGAUGGCUUCUACUACUUGUUGAACUUAUCAAAUUCAAUAUGGUUUUUCAAAUCCAUACUUGUUGAACUUGCAUACCGUGGUCAUCUCUGAGAGGAUGUUCUCCACCGAGCAGCAACGUAUGUCAAGAAGGAGGUUCGAUUCUACAAGAAAGAGUGGAUAUGGACAUCGUGACCGUGUCCCCUUUUCCGUAGAAUCGAACCUCUUUCAUGAAGAAGUGCGGUGCCGCCCAGUUGAGGACAUGCUCGCGAGAUGAUCACGGUCUUCAAGUUCAACAAAUGAGACACUAAGCAUGGUCAUUUUCAUCAAAUGAGUUGCUUUUGGAGCUGGGGAGAACGUAUUUUUAAUAUCAUGUAACUCGCUGAACUCGACCGGGCAUGUACCUCUGAAAACACCAUCUUGGAAGUACGCUAAAACUGCGUGGAAAGAUGAGUGUUCGGUCUACUUGCCAGGCAGGCUCAUACCUCAGAAAAUUCUGGUCGAAUAAAAUAUACAUUGAGGUUUAGAAACCUGAGGUUUCCUUGAAACCAUGUUGCUAGCAAACUACCAAAAGUAGGCCAAGCAAGAGAACAAAGAUGUCAAUUUCUCAGCGUUGGAGGGGAGUCCUUAUUUAAUAUAUUAAGGAAUAUCUGCCUUGUUUAUUCACUACUGUACAACAUUAUAAGCAAGUGGUUGCAACUUGGAACAUAUAUAGGUGGGGCCAUGUCGUAUGUCCUUCAUUCAAUCAGGGCCGCCACAUCAACGUCUUUACCUUGGGCACAAGUGGCAAAUGGAACAACAACUUGCACGCAUAUGAUGAAGAGUCCUACCCGCGUACUGCUUUAAUUUUUUAUUUUUGUUGAUGACAGGCUGGCUGAUGUUAUGGGUGCGUCUCAGUUCUGUAAAUAAAGGAGGAAACGUGGUUGCCUAUUUUAGCUCACCACGGAUGCAUGUUUAUAUAGGACCAACCGCUCAAGAUAUAUACAAGAUCUCGUCAUCGUACGUGACUCGGAUACUGUUUACAAAAGACUUAUCU
rnacentral:lncRNA from 1 species